rnacentral:lncRNA from 1 species
AUACAUACCAAAAAAAAAAAACAACGGCUCCAGAAGAGCUAAUGAUUGAGAGACAGAAAUAACUGAAUUAGCCAUCCAUCUAGCAUUUUAAUCUAAAUAUCAAAGAGUUUACACAUAAUCCACAGCCAUCAUAGACCACUCUAAUGUCAAAACCGUAGUACAUCAGUCAAAACACAAGCACUCAAACAGGACUCAAACAGGAAUAACACAAGGUCCAGGAUCUGUCGAAUCAAGCAAUAUUUGUGAGUUAGAUUGGCCCCGUUUACACCAAUGCGAUGCUGCUCUCGCCACCAGGGGGCUUGCGAACACCACCAAAAUAGUCCCUGGAUUCCGACUUUCCAUCUGCAAAGAUGUUACUGCCGCUUAUUUCUUUCAGUUUAGCGCUGCUUAGUGGUUUUUCAGCAGAUCCAGGAGGAACAUCUCCUUUGAAAAUAUCAUUGCCAGUCAACUCCUGAAACUUCUGAUUGUGUAUUUUCUUUGAUGUCCUAACAACCGGUUCUUCACCAAACAGGAUGUUACUCUGACCUCCAGCAGGCUAUAAAAGUUAAAAACCAAAGUCUAGUUAGGCAAGAGAGCUAGAAGCCAAAGCUAAUGGGAAUUCAUCAUGCAUGCAUUAGCAUAAAGAUGAUAUUUCAGUUACCAACAAACAAACCAACCCACCACAAAAGCGCUUGUUUUCUAAAAGUGGGAAGUUUGGCAAGAAUAUGGAAAACUAAAGUGAAGACAUUGAAUGGGGUGGCAAGAGCAAGUCGAUUCUUAUUGUUAAUGCAAAAGACAAAUUUUAUAGUCCAUGUGAAUAGAUGAAGAUUUGAAAUGAGAAAUUAUUUGAAUUUGCAUUAAUGUUGAUGUUAAUAAUCUUUCACUUGAUGUUUGAGAUAAUUCAUGUUCACUUCUGAUGGACAUCUAUCCAAAUGGACCCUAAUCCUGAAGAAAAUUUCCAAUUGCAGUCCACAAAAAGGCCAAGAUUGAUCAUUCUAGGAGCCUUUUCUAUCAUUUAACAGGCAUGAGGGAUUGAACUGCAUUUCUUUCUAUGAACAUUUUGCAGUUUGAGAGUCCCAAAAUGUUGACACUUGGAAGACGUGCUUCCAAAAUGCUGCUACUCCUAUAAAUGAACCUCAAUGAAAACAUUUAGCCCACAAAGCUCACAUUGUUCAUUGGUUAUUAUGUCAGAACUUAGAAGAAAGCAGUAGCACCAAAUUAACUAUUACAUUCCUAUGCUCUUACUGAUAAGAUCAUAAUGUAUAGUUCUAGAUAAUAAAUGAAGAUUUUAGAACGCAUAAAAACAUGCACUCACAUUGGAAACUUUAACAGAAGUGCGUAUGUUUCGUGGGGCAGGUUUCUCAAUGUCUUUGUUUUCCUUUGUUUCCAAGGAACGUGCAGCAGCCAAGGACCGGGGUGCAAUUUCAGGUGAAGGGGCAAAGAUGUCAUGUCCACUUAUUUCCUUGAAUUUUGCAUCUGAUAUCUGCUUUUUACUGUUCAUGUCUGACUCACUUUGCAGAGUUCCACUUAACUCACGCUGCUUUGCUACCUCAGGAAGAGAAGUAGGCUUCUUGGGAGAGAUACUCUCCUCAGUAUUAAAUGAUAUCUGGCUAAUUCCAUUCAUUGCUUGCUGAAAAUGCAACCAUUAAUGGGAAAUGUAAUCGUGAUUAAUCUUAGAUAAUAAGUAAUCAAGCAUUAUUUUGUAUAAUUAAAGGGAGACCAAAGUACCUGAUAGACACGCACACUAGUUUUGUUAAUGGGAUUAUCAGCGCCAGAUUCAGACGCAUUAUCUCCACCAUUAGCUGCAAAUAUACCACUGCCAGUCAUCUCCUUUAACUUAUAACCGGAACAGGGCUUCCUGGAGAUGGCAAAGGGAAAAAUUCAGGACCUCAGAUAGCUUGGAUAAUUCAUAACCCCACAUGGUAUAAAGGUGAAUUCCCUUUUGAUAGGCGUUUCCAGAGAUGCACCUCAAUGUUCACAUAUAUACAAUCAGAAAGAGUACAUGGGAAAAGAAAAUAAAUCGGAAAAGAACAUACCCAAUUGAUCCCUUAUAAUUCAUAAAUUCUGGAAUAAUUUAUACUACAUGAUUUUUUUGCUUAACUAUCAAAUUUCACAUACACCUUCAAGAUUGUUUUUUUUUUUUUAAUUUUAAAAUUCAAACAACUGCAUAAAGAGUUAACUUUGAGAGAACAAUGGACCUCAAAUGACUUUUAGCCUUUCAACUGGUCCAUUAGCACUUCAAGAUAAUCUUACUAUUAUGUAAAUUUAAGCAAUCCAAUCUUGGGUUUUACUCUUCCAAACACUUCAACUUAAAUACCUUAUCUUCAUUAUCCUUCUUCUACCCCUGUUCCUGGACUUCAUGGAUCACCAUCAGGAAUAGACAUUUAAGUUUCCGUCUUUUCAAGUAAAAUUGGGCUUUUUGAAACUUUUUUUUUUCCAAAAGAAAGAAAAAGAAUUUGAAAACUUCGUUGAUCUUUUAAGUUCCUCUUCUCUCUUCAUCACUGUUUGUAGAUAAAUUCUAUUCAACAAAGGUAACUUGGUAAUUUAAGGGCCACAUAUCUUAGCCCAAGUUAAAGUAGCAAAACCCAAGGCUUUUUUUAAUUGUUUAAUAAUUAAUGCAUAUAACUUUUUUUAAAAAAUAAAAUUUAUGAAAUCACUGUAUUUUUCUUUUUUUAUUCUACAUUCCUUUUUUUCUUUUUUUAUAAGACUAGUCCUUAUAAAGUUGUAUUAUUAUUAUUAUUAUUAUUAUUAUUAUUAUCUCUAUUAAAAUUCUAUGUUUUUUUUCCAUCUCUUUUCUAUUUAUUAUUAUUUUUAUAUUUAUUAUUAUUUUCCCUAUCCAUAUAAAUCUAAUGUCAUUUAGUAUUAUUUAUUUAUUAUAAUACUUAGAUAUUAUAUUUUUAUUCAAUUGAUUGUAUACAUAAUAAUCAACAUAUAAUUUAACUUUGAAUUUAAAAAUUAUAAGUGCGAAAUAUUUUUAAUUAUUUUAUAUUAGAUUUUAUAUUUUUAGAUUUUUUAUUAUUAACUAAAAUCUUUAAGAGCUUAAUAAGGAAGAGAUUUGAUAAUUGGAAGAAUUUUCCACAUUAUGAACUAAAAGAAAAGAAAAAAUAAUUUUAGAAAAAAAAACAGUUUUGAGAAAUAAGUAACCAAAAACUGAAAACAGUUUUAUGUUUUUAAUAAAUAAAAAACUAAAAAUAAAUAACAGUAACAAACGGACUUAGUAAUUUAGAAAUACAUUUUCCUUCUCUAAAUAUAUUUUCGCAUACUAAAAACUCUCAAAAACUCAUUUCUCCAAUUAAAAUAAUUAUAUAAAUAAAUAAAAAUUCAUAAAACAUAUAUUUUUUAUGAGUAUGGAACUUGUAUUUUUUUUAUACGAUUAAAUAUUGAUUAGAGUUGUUGUUGAAUAUAUUUAAUAAUUUAUAAUAAUUUAUAUUUUUAUAUUUAUAAAUAUAACUUUAUAUUUUCAUAUUUACGCAUUUCUUUCCGUUUCUUAUAUUUUUAAAAAGAUCGUUUCCUGUAUCCGUUUCCGCAUUUCACCUUUUUGUGCAACAUAGAUAUUAUAUGUUCAAUAUAAAAGUAAAAAUAAUUAAAUAAAAGUUUAAUUUAACAAUUUAAAUGUUCAAAAGAAAAAUCCUUCAUUAUCCACACUGGAUUAUAAGGAAGUUUAAUCAGCCUGCUUCAAUCAACCCAAUCAGUCUAUUAGAAGUCUCGAUCAGUCCGUAGAUUUUAUGAAGUUUAUAAAUUCCACAUUAAUGGUGGUAGCUAAGGUUAAAGACGAAAUAACCAAAACCAAAACCAAAAUAAAAAAAGAAAAAAAAGAAAAAAAAACCACCAUAUCAGAUGAUCAUUUGUACCUUAAAUUUAUCAAAGUACUAAACUGUAAAUUAUUGUUAAAAAGGGUACUAACUAUAUAUCAAACUUAAUUCUAGAGUUAAAUUUCCAGUUUCACCAUACAAUCAUGGCCUUGCGUCUCAAGAAGUAAAACACAGGACUGCGUAAUACAUACCAAAAAAAAAAAACAACGGCUCCAGAAGAGCUAAUGAUUGAGAGACAGAAAUAACUGAAUUAGCCAUCCAUCUAGCAUUUUAAUCUAAAUAUCAAAGAGUUUACACAUAAUCCACAGCCAUCAUAGACCACUCUAAUGUCAAAACCGUAGUACAUCAGUCAAAACACAAGCACUCAAACAGGACUCAAACAGGAAUAACACAAGGUCCAGGAUCUGUCGAAUCAAGCAAUAUUUGUGAGUUAGAUUGGCCCCGUUUACACCAAUGCGAUGCUGCUCUCGCCACCAGGGGGCUUGCGAACACCACCAAAAUAGUCCCUGGAUUCCGACUUUCCAUCUGCAAAGAUGUUACUGCCGCUUAUUUCUUUCAGUUUAGCGCUGC